rnacentral:rRNA from 1 species
CUCGCCUACAUGAAGUCGGAAUCGCUAGUAAUCGCGGAUCAGCAUGCCGCGGUGAAUACGUUCCCGGGCCUUGUACACACCGCCCGUCACACCAUGAGAGUUUGUAACACCCAAAGCCGGUGGGGUAACCUUUUGGAGCCAGCCGUCUAAGGUGGGACAGAUGAUUGGGGUGAAGUCGUAACAAGGUAGC